rnacentral:misc_RNA from 1 species
AACAUCGCGCACCUGCGGGAACCUGCGGAGGGAUCAUUAUAGGAAAACAGUGAUUUCAAUAAGUUGCGGGGGGGAGAGAGGGGGUGUGUGGUGUCAUACUCUGCACUUUUCCCUCUUGAUCCCUUGCUUCUUCAAACAAACUAUCGCAACUAGAAUAAUUGUUUGGGUCAUAAGGGGUGACCCGUGACUUGGUUGGACACAAGAAAAGUGUUUGCCUGAUAUCUGAGCUUUUAUAUGAGG